GAAUGAAGAACGCAGCGAAAUGCGAUAAGUAAUGUGAAUUGCAGAAUUCAGUGAAUCAUCGAAUCUUUGAACGCACAUUGCGCCCCCUGGUAUUCCGGGGGGCAUGCCUGUCCGAGCGUCAUUACAACCCUCAAGCUCAGCUUGGUGUUGGGCCCCGCCGCCCCGGCGGGCCCUAAAGUCAGUGGCGGUGCCGUCCGGCUCCGAGCGUAGUAAUUCUUCUCGCUCUGGAGGUCCGGUCGUGUGCUUGCCAGCAACCCCCAAUUUUUUUCAGGUUGACCUCGGAUCAGGUAGGGAUACCCGCUGAACUUAAGCAUAUCAAUAAGCGGAGGA
rnacentral:misc_RNA from 1 species